UACGAAGGGGCUAGCGUUGCUCGGAAUCACUGGGCGUAAAGGGCGCGUAGGCGGCCGAUCAAGUCAGGGGUGAAAGCCUGUGGCUCAACCACAGAAUUGCCUUUGAUACUGUUCGGCUCGAGACCGGAAGAGGUAAGUGGAACUGCGAGUGUAGAGGUGAAAUUCGUAGAUAUUCGCAAGAACACCAGUGGCGAAGGCGGCUUACUGGUCCGGUUCUGACGCUGAGGCGCGAAAGCGUGGGGAGCAAACGGG
rnacentral:rRNA from 1 species